rnacentral:rRNA from 1 species
UACGAAGGGGGCUAGCGUUGUUCGGAUUUACUGGGCGUAAAGCGCACGUAGGCGGAUCGUUAAGUCGGGGGUGAAAUCCUGGAGCUCAACUCCAGAACUGCCUUCGAUACUGGCGAUCUUGAGUCCGGAAGAGGUGAGUGGAACUCCUGGUGUAGAGGUGGAGUUCGUAGAUAUUAGGAAGAACACCAGUGGCGAAGGCGGCUCACUGGUCCGGUACUGACGCUGAGGUGCGAAAGCGUGGGGAGCAAACAGG